GGCGGGGGAGGACAGGGGGGGGGGGGGUGGUCGGGAAUGUCGGGGCGUAAGUGGCGCGUGGGCGGCCUGGUAGGGUUGCGGUGAAAGCCCGGGGCUCAACCCCGGGUCGGCCGUGGCAACUGCUGGGCUGGCGCGCAGGAGAGGCGGGUGGAAUUCCGGGUGUAGCGGUGGAAUGCGUAGAGAUCCGGAAGAACACCGGUGGCGAAGGCGGCCCGCUGGGCUGUGACUCUUCGGAGUCUUCAAGCUGACGCUGAGGCGCGACAGCGUGGGGAGCAAACAGGAUUAGAUACCCCUGUAGUC
rnacentral:rRNA from 1 species